rnacentral:rRNA from 1 species
CCUACGGGUGGCAGCAGUGGGGAAUAUUGGACAAUGGGGGCAACCCUGAUCCAGCCAUGCCGCGUGUGUGAAGAAGGCCCUUGGGUUGUAAAGCACUUUCAGUGAGGAAGAACGCCUGGUGGUUAAUACCCAUCAGGAAAGACAUCACUCACAGAAGAAGCACCGGCUAACUCCGUGCCAGCAGCCGCGGUAAUACGGAGGGUGCGAGCGUUAAUCGGAAUUACUGGGCGUAAAGCGCGCGUAGGUGGCUUGAUAAGCCGGUUGUGAAAGCCCCGGGCUCAACCUGGGAACGGCAUCCGGAACUGUCAAGCUAGAGUGCAGGAGAGGAAGGUAGAAUUCCCGGUGUAGCGGUGAAAUGCGUAGAGAUCGGGAGGAAUACCAGUGGCGAAGGCGGCCUUCUGGACUGACACUGACACUGAGGUGCGAAAGCGUGGGUAGCAAACAGGAUUAGAUACCCUAGUAGUC